rnacentral:rRNA from 1 species
UACGUAGGGUGCGAGCGUUGUCCGGAAUUAUUGGGCGUAAAGGGCUCGUAGGCGGUUUGUCGCGUCGGGAGUGAAACACCGGGCUUAACUCGGUGCUUGCUUCCGAUACGGGCAGACUAGAGGCAUGCAGGGGAGAACGGAAUUCCUGGUGUAGCGGUGGAAAUGCGCAGAGUAUCAGGAGGAACACCGGUGGCGAAGGCGGUUCUCUGGGCCUGUACUGACGCUGAGGAGCGAAAGCGUGGGGAGCGAACAGG